rnacentral:rRNA from 1 species
UACGAAGGGGGCUAGCGUUGUUCGGAAUGACUGGGCGUAAAGGGCGCGUAGGCGGCGAUGUAAGUCAGGCGUGAAAGCCCCGGGCUCAACCCGGGAACGGCGCUUGAUACUGCGUUGCUUGAGGACGGGAGAGGAUGGUGGAAUUCCCAGUGUAGAGGUGAAAUUCGUAGAUAUUGGGAAGAACACCGGUGGCGAAGGCGGCCAUCUGGACCGUUUCUGACGCUGAGGCGCGAAAGCGUGGGGAGCAAACAGG